rnacentral:rRNA from 1 species
AUUGAACGCUGGCGGCAGGCCUAACACAUGCAAGUCGAGCGGAUGAAGGGAGCUUGCUCCUGGAUUCAGCGGCGGACGGGUGAGUAAUGCCUAGGAAUCUGCCUGGUAGUGGGGGAUAACGUCCGGAAACGGGCGCUAAUACCGCAUACGUCCUGAGGGAGAAAGUGGGGGAUCUUCGGACCUCACGCUAUCAGAUGAGCCUAGGUCGGAUUAGCUAGUUGGUGGGGUAAAGGCCUACCAAGGCGACGAUCCGUAACUGGUCUGAGAGGAUGAUCAGUCACGCUGGAACUGUGACACGGUCCAGACUCAUACGGGAGGCAGCAGUGGGGAAUAUUGGACAAUGGGCGAAAGCCUGAUACAGCCAUGCCGCGUGUGUGAAGAAGGUCUUCGGAUUGUAAAGCACUUUAAGUUGGGAGGAAGGGCAGUAAGUUAAUACCUUGCUGUUUUGACGUUACCAACAGAAUAAGCACCGGCUAACUUCGUG